CGACGCACAGAUACAAAGGCGCACACACACAGACACACACACUCUACAGUCUACUCCCAUCCCAUCAUCCCAUGUUAGUGAAAGCACUCAGCACAGCCUUGUUUCAGUUUCACACACAGCUUUGAACUCAACGAAGGACACAGGACACACUACUCUGUUUCCCGUUGUAUUCAUCACGCUACACCAGGAGAAUCGAGAUUAACGUUAGAAACCGCAAGCAAGAAUAUUUUGUUUUUCAAGUGUACCACAGUCCAUGAUACCAGUUUCGCCGCUGAAGCUGCCUUGCUCCUGCCGGUUAAAUACACAUCAACUCCAAUCGGAACGAUUCUGGUUGGUCCACGGCAGCCCCCCCCCCUCUCCCAGGGGCUUAUGAGUUGGUGAUAAUAAUCAGUAAAGUCCAAUUCUACCUAGUACCCAAUUGAUCCUCCUCAUUCUAGUAUAAGAUCCUGUUUCUUCAUUACCAGUUUCCUUCAUUUUGUUUGUAAUUAGUCCUUGUCAUUGGAUUGUCAUUCUACGCGUGUUGCUUGGAUUUUAUUGCAGCUUACCUGCUUGAAUUAAAGCACUGAAAUUCUGUUGCGUCUUUCUGUGAAAUUCGGCCCUUGGCUGAACCAGUCAUACAAGGUACAUGGCUAGGUAUUAUCAGCUGCUGAAACGGAAGGCCGCAGCAAACAGUUUACCGGUUCAUCACUUGAAGCACGGAUCGCGGCAUGCAAUGCACUUUUCUUUUUCUUUUCCUUUUUUUUUUUUGUUAUUCUUUUAGUGCAACUUAAUGGAGCUAUUAGCUCCAUUAUGGUUCUGUCUAACCAGCUGUCAAAUCUAUUAGGAAAUUGUGAUCUACAGAAUGAUAUGAUAUUACUAGUGUGUUCUGUGCUACCACUUCUGUGUUGCUGUCCAUAUCUGUAGUUGUACUUUUUAAGGUCAUCAUCUAUAGCAUAAAAACUUGCAGUUCCUGCAAAACUAUCAGUGAAGUGUUGCUACUGUCCUGAGAGCUGGUAAUUUGUGGAUUACUAUUGUAUGUCGACAGAAGGCCUACCUUCCUGGCUUCACCCCUUGAUUAUGGAAUCCGCUAUUGUGGUACAGUCAGAUUGUAACAUCAAUGAAGAGGAUCCAGAAACCCAACAUUUAUAGCUGUUAAUUGUAAUAUGAGCAAAUGUAGAACUGGGGAAGAGGUGGAGGUUUUGCCUAGCACUCACUCAUAGGCUAUACGAUCCACUCGCAGCAUUUUUACUUUGCAGAGGGUCGGAGAACAUGAAUAGAUUGGAUCCAGAAAACUCAACACUUGCAUUUGUGAUAUGAGGAAAUGUAGGACUAAGGCUGAAGUGGAGGUUCUGCUGAAUGCUUCCUUAGAAUUAUUCGCUCAUAGGCUACAAUAGCAUUUUUACUUUGCAGUGGAUCCUUUACUCAAGUGCUUUAAUCUUCUUGUAAGUGGAUUUUUGGCGGCGGUCAAAAUUCAUAUGCCACAGCAGUUAACUCAGACGCCUUCUGUCAGAAACUGCCGCUACAAGUAUAUUCUGUAACCAGUUUCUGCAACAGUUGAAGAUAUAUAGUGGCGGCCAGGAACGUGCCAGGGAAAAGUUUCCCACUUUGCAAAUUCCUAUUUGGUCGCACAAAAUUGGCUGGCAUGUGAGGUUGCUGCUGGAAUUAUUUAAAAGCACCUUUUUCUGUGUUUAGGAGAAUGAAAGACAUGCAGCAGAGGUCAGGGAUAGGUUGGCAGAAUCUUUAGCAGGAGUUACCAAUUCUCUAAGUUGCUUCAGUGUUGUGCAACAUGUGAAAUGGCCCAUUGGGUGACUAGUUGAUCAUAUCCGUCAUCUUCAUUUUGUGUCGUUCUGAAAGUAGUCCUUCUAAUGGUUUGUUAUGUGCACUUUAAGCGGCGGCCAGGCUAGCGCCACCACUAUUUGGAAAAUUCUUAAUUGAUUAACUGCUUUAAGUUAGUGAAAUGCUAGUUUAGAAUUAAGUGGUCAAUAGGUGCCCUGUUUAUUUUGGUUGCUCUUUUUUCCAGCAAAUUCUGCGCAUUAACUGAUUCAUAUCUGUUGCUCUUUAUUUCUGGUGAAUUUGGUCUUUGUAUGUUAAAUAAUUUAAGGUUGCUCCAAAAAGUAAGUAGUUUUGAUUUCAUGGCUUUAUGCUUUAGGUAAUUGAUCCAACAAGGCUCAGAUUUCUUUUUGAAAAGGAGCUUCAGAGAAGCGAUGUUGGCCCUCUUAGGCGGAUAGUUCUCCCAAAGAGAGCAGCCGAGGAAUAUCUUCCUGUACUUGAGUCCAAGGAAGGGAUGUUCAUUACCAUGGAUGAUAUGGAUGGUAAUCAUGUUUGGCGACUCAAGUUUAGGAUUCCCAUGAUCGACCAAGCUUUUUUGUUUGAUCAUCAUAUUCUCUUGUAGAAACCAUAUCAUAACUCAGGAUGACUGUAACUCAAAAUCUAGACACUCAGCUUGUUCCCUACCAUUGCUUUGGCUCUAGGUUCAGCGAAACUAAGGCCUUGAAAGGUUUAGGCCUGAUAAUAUUCUCUCAUUUGAAUUGAAUGUCUUUGUUGAAUGACUAUUAUGAGGUGAAGCAUUCUUACGUGGAACAUUGGUUGAUCUUUCUAGAGGUAAUAGAGCGGUCAUUGUUAAAAUGUUCUCCUUCAUAAUGCAGAUUCUGGCCUAACAACAACAGUCGAAUGUAUCUGUUUGAGAACACAGGGGUAUUUGUCAAGACUCAUGGCUUACGACAUGGAGACUACAUUGUUCUGUAUCAGGAUUUGGUGGGCCGCAACUAUGUCAUUCAGGCUAGGAAAGCAUCUGAUUCGGUUGUACAUGAUACUUCUGGACAUGGAGCUCAAGGCAUCCUAAGUGAUUAUGCAGCAAGUGAUGUUGUCCAGGGCCCUGAGUCGGAGAUAAAUGCAUCCGGAUAUAUCCCUGAGAUGUUCCCUCCUGUGAAUGAGAUGGGUGACAUGUCCUUCAUAUACGACACUAGCUUCUCAAAUGACUCCCCACUCGAUUAUCUGGGUGGACCGAUGACUGACUUCUCGAGGGUAGGAGGACAUGAAUCAAACUUUGGAUCGAUCGACAACUUGUCUCUUGACGAUUUCUUCUGACUUUAUCCUCUAAAAUGGUGCAAUAGGAAUAAGAUGUUGUAUGCUGGCACUGGUACUACUUGCUAAGCUACUCUUUCCAAUAAAACUCGGAAAAGAAGAUGGGGAAUGUAUGUUGUGAACUUAUAGCCCUGCGUAUAUAUAUGUUCGCAAAUGUAUGUUAUCAGGAAUAAAGUUGUGAAAUACUACUACUAUUACUCUAUUGCUGUGGACUAUAUUCUGAGUUCCCGGAACUGCAAAAUAGCCAUUUCAGCUUUUAUUA